CAGCCGCCACGGGAAAACGGAGGGGGCAAGCGUUAUCCGGAAUUAUUGGGCGUAAAGGGUACGUAGGUGGCCUUUUAAGCGUAGGGUAUAAGGCAAUGGCUCAACCAUUGUUCGCCCUAUGAACUGGAAGGCUUGAGUGCAGGAGAGGAAAGCGGAAUUCCUAGUGUAGCGGUGGAAUGCAUAGAUAUUAGGAGGAACAUCAGCGGCGAAGGCGGCUUUCUGGACUGCAACUGACACUGAGGUACGAAAGCGUGGGGAGCAAACAGGAUUAGAUACCCCUGUAGUCCCUGACUCUUAUACA
rnacentral:rRNA from 1 species